AGUCGGUUUGUGUAGCGGCCAAUCAUACGAGGCUCUGACCCUCGUGACAGAGGUUCGAAUCCUCUACCGACUA
rnacentral:tRNA from 1 species